AUUGAACGCUGGCGGCAUGCCUUACACAUGCAAGUCGAACGGUAACAGGUCUUCGGAUGCUGACGAGUGGCGAACGGGUGAGUAAUACAUCGGAACGUGCCCAGACGUGGGGGAUAACGAGGCGAAAGCUUUGCUAAUACCGCAUACGAUCUAAGGAUGAAAGCAGGGGACCGCAAGGCCUUGCGCGUUUGGAGCGGCCGAUGGCAGAUUAGGUAGUUGGUGGGAUAAAAGCUUACCAAGCCGACGAUCUGUAGCUGGUCUGAGAGGACGACCAGCCACACGGGGAUUAGGCACGGCCCAGGCUCCCACGGGAGGCAGCAGUGGGGAAUUUUGGACAAUGGGCGAAAGCCUGAUCCAGCAAUGCCGCGUGCAGGAUGAAGGCCUUCGGGUUGUAAACUGCUUUUGUACGGAACGAAAAGGCUCUGGCUAAUACCUGGGGCACAUGACGGUACCGUAAGAAUAAGCACCGGCUAACUACGUG
rnacentral:rRNA from 1 species